AUUUUCCCCAAGUGUUACAGUAUGGCUAUUCAAUUGAUACGACUAUUUCAGAUGCCAUCACCGCAUUAUAGAGAAAUCUUUAAACUUCCUGGAGGCUUUUCUUUUAGGAUAAGUGCAGCAGAAGGAGAACAGAAAAGACUGCAGCUGGAAUGAUCUGGAUUACGCUGUACGGUUACAUCUCUAAGGAGACAAAAUAGGAGAGACAGCGGACAUCAUACUCAGAGCUGGACUUUGGGGAGCUCUGCUCUCCAACAGACCUUGCUUUAUGGAGCCCUUCAAAAGCCUCGGGGUAAACGGAAUUUGCGUCCCCCUCACUCGAGGAACAGGUGCGGGGUGAGGCUGAGAGGGGCCACGGGAACAGAAUCUGCUUGCCCUGAAGCCUUGUGCUGACACCAGCAGGAAUAUGAACGUGACGUCUUUGAGUGUGUGCUUCUGGAAAGCGUCUCAGUGACAGAACUCAGAACAGCAUCUUGGCGAGGGCCAACACAGGCACCGUGUCGGGAAAAAAUGUUUCUAUCUAGCCCAGGGGUUUGUAUCCUGUCAGAAGUGGACGGCCACAUUCUUUUGGUAGGGCUCACACUUAAACAGAUCUAUGUUUGAUUUAACUCAACUUAUUAGUUAUUGUUCUUGGGUAAAUUACUUAAUCUCUGGAUCUCAGAUUGUCACUAUUAAAAGAGGAUACUGUUGGCAGAAGGUUGCUUGGCGGGUUGGGAGGGACAAUAAAAAAUGCGUCUAAAGUAUCUCCUACAUCUUUAUGUCAUACCUCUUCCUUCACCACGCUUAGUGGUAACUGGAGGGAAAGUGGUAACCAGGAGAAGCUUUAGCUUGGACAAUGAAUGCUUGAAAGGGAGAAAAGGAUGUGAGUGGUUGCGGUUGUAAGAGGCAGGUGAGAUGAAGGGGGCACAGAAUUUGCCGCGGCCAUAGGCACAACCAUGCUCACUCCCAGCCUUGUUAAGACCUAGAAAUAAAGACCUUGACGUUGUGUGACGUGUCUGCCACCUGUGGCAAGUCUGCAUCAAGC
rnacentral:lncRNA from 1 species